rfam:Bombyx mori DNA, contig: Bm_scaf1_contig48, strain: p50T/Dazao, build 2, whole genome shotgun sequence.
UUAACUCAAAUUUAUAUAGAGUUGGAACAGCUUCCCUUCGUUUGCCACUAGGGGCGCUGUUCUAACUCCAUAAAAAAUUAAGUUA